rnacentral:rRNA from 1 species
UACGUAGGGUGCAAGCGUUGUCCGGAAUUAUUGGGCGUAAAGAGCUCGUAGGCGGUUUGUCGCGUCUGCUGUGAAAUCUGGGGGCUCAACCCCCCAGCCUGCAGUGGGUACGGGCAGACUAGAGUGCGGUAGGGGGAGAUUGGAAUUCCUGGUGUAGCGGUGGAAUGCGCAGAUAUCAGGAGGACACCGAUGGCGAAAGCACUCUGCUGGGCCGACACUGACACUGAGAGACGAAAGCUAGGGGAGCGAAUGGG